GGCUUUCUCUCGGCCUUAGCGCCAUUUUCUUGGGUGAGUGUGUUUGUUUCCUGUGUUCGGAUUCCGUGUACAAUCCAUAGAUAUCCGACGUCGGCACUUACCAUCAUCACAGCAAACUAACUGUAGCCUUUCUCUCUUUCCCUGUAGAAACCUCUGCGCCAUGAGAGCCAAGUGGAGGAAGAAGCGAAUGCGCAGGCUGAAGCGCAAAAGAAGAAAGAUGAGGCAGAGGUCCAAGUAAACUGCUAGCUUGUUGCACCGUGGAGGCCACAGGAGCAGAAACAUGGAAUGCCAGACGCUGGGGAUGUUGGUACAAGUUGUGGGACUGCAUGCUACUGUCUAGAGCUUGUCUCAAUGGAUCUAGAACUUCAUCGCCCUCUGAUCGCCGAUCACCUCUGAAACCCACCUUGCUCAUAAACAAAAUGCCCAUGUUGGUCCUCUGCCCUGGACCUGCGACAUUCUGGACUAUUUCUGUGUUUGUGGCCGAGUGUAACAACCAUACAAUAAAUCACCUCUUCUGCUGUUUUAGCUGAAGAAUUAAAUCA